GUUGAGAGUGGAGCCGUGGACCCGCUGUGAUUUAAUAUUUCUUCAGGUGAGCGUGAGAGAACUCUUGAGAGAACUCGCUGCAGAACGUGCGUUUGACACAAGAACUAAACAAAAAUCGCAUUAUGAACGAUUCCAAGUACGCAUCAACGGACGAAGGGGACGUUUUGCUGAUUUGUGAACCGAUUACCAUCGACGGAGUAGAAAAUCAGGAGGAAACGAAACAAGAGGUGAUCAUACCUGUCGAUUCGGAUGACGGACGUUUGGAACCGGAAGAUGUGGAAGUUUACCAUCAACCAGAAGAAAAUGUGCCCUCGGUUGAAGAACUGGUUCCGGUGCAGUGGAUGUCAGGCGUUUGGAACAUCGAUAGUUAUAGAAGUAGCUUCGAAACCGAUGAGCACUGGGAACUGCGGAGGAUGUUCAUGGACCAACACAAGGAUAGCAUACCGGAAGAAGAACUGGUAGCUCUGGCACAAGCCUUCGCGAAUUCGUUACUGCUUAACGCUGUAUACUGCAAAGAAGUUUCAGAUAGGCUUGAUUUGCUGGGAGCAUCAAUAGCUACAAGGUAUCGAAGCUCUCGAGCCCAUUCCGCUGCCAAGGUUACGGUUCCUGCGUCGAAUGCAGUUGCGGACUGGUUGCGGAAAAUUCCGGAAGGGCUCAAAAUAGUUCAACGAAAGCAGUUAGCCACAAGGUUGUUGCAACCCGCAAUCCCUAUCACAUCUCUGGAAGACGUAUUCCGAAAUUUCAUUCUGUUGGAUGACAACCUGGAGAAUAGCGGAAGGGAAUUCGGAAUGCUCAAUUGCGGAUUGUUUGUGGUACGAGUGGUGUCCCAGGAGCGCAAACAAUGGGUGGCCAGCGUUACGGCGGCAGGAUAUUUGCUAAGUAAAUCCAACGGGCCGAAAAAGAAAGCAAACCGUGCCUGCAGGGAAGAAGCGCUGCAACUGUUGAGACGGAAAUGCUAUAAGAUCAAGACAAAUCCUAAUCGUUGCUGGGACAGUUGUAACGUGGAACGAUUGGAAUCAACGGAAGCUUUGGACUGGAAUGGAAAUCCGUUCGGGAAAUCUUCCAAAUCUCAAACAUCGAAGGAUAAGCUCAAAGAGGAUAACAUCGGAUUCCGAAUGCUGAUGAAACUCGGCUGGGGCGGUGGACCGCUCGGCAAGCACAAGGAUGGCAUCGUGGACCCGAUAGAAGUUCAAGCGAAACGUGGCCGAAGGGGCCUCGGAUUGGUGCAGCUCAAAUCGGCUUCGUCCCCGUCCGUGGAGGGUUCACAGUACCCGAACAAAUUUCUAACGGAGGGAUUCGAUUUACAAAGCGAAUCGUUUCAUAUCGACGUGAAUUUCUACCGUGACCUGAUGGUGAAUUUUAAGGCGCGACAGCUGGGAUAUGACCUAAUGUUUUCGAUAGAUUUCACCGAAAUCGAGAGGGCUCUGCUCUGCAAGAUAGCUUCCGAUUUGAACCUACAAUGUAAGACCGUUACCUAUGACUACGAGCAUUAUCAAUUCGUGUUAUUGAAACAUCGAGUCUCACCACACGAUUUGUUGGUGAAAAUUCUAGUGGACAAACACCCAAUUUACAGUGCACUGUAUACAGUGGAACCCCCGGAGGAAGAUCCAACUAGACAUAAGAAAGUACUAGAGCUGUGCUCUGGAUAGAGAAUAAAAGCAAAGGUUUUAAAAUUAUUAACGAACGAUGUUUAUAGCGCCAUUUUCCGAUGCACUUCGAUGCCCCGACCGUGUGGCCUAAUGGAUGAAGGCGUCGGACUUCGAAUCCGAAGAUUGCAGGUUCGAGUCCUGUCACGGUCGAAACAGCUAACGAUGCUUAAUUUUUGGCUAAAUUUGGCAUUUAUCGUUGUGCAAUUAGCAUGUGCAUUGUGUCGGGGAAAUUGCGAUGUAAUGGCAUUGUCUGCGCAUGCCCUAUUUGUACCCCUCUCGUGAGCGAUAGGGGUGAGGAUUGUAUCUGUUGUACCGGUUAGGUAGGGGUAAGCAUGUGUGUAUUUGCCUUGGGAAAUUGUGAAUCUACGGAUCUACCGUCUGUUGCUCUGCAUGUCAACAAAUUAAGUCAAAAAAUCGCUCCUCGGUUACCGUGAGAUGCCCAUAUUUUGUACACUUAAGAAUUCUCAAACUCAAAGUUUGAUAAACGACUAAAAUUUUACCAUAAAGUAUGUCAAAUUCAAUUCUU